AGUCGAGCGGAGUUGAUAAGAAGCUUGCUUCUUUGAUACUUAGCGGCGGACGGGUGAGUAACACGUAGGCAACCUGCCCUCAAGUUUGGGACAACUACCGGAAACGGUAGCUAAUACCGAAUAAUUGUUUUCUUCGCCUGAAGGAAACUGGAAAGACGGAGCAAUCUGUCACUUGGGGAUGGGCCUGCGGCGCAUUAGCUAGUUGGUGAGGUAACGGCUCACCAAGGCGACGAUGCGUAGCCGACCUGAGAGGGUGAUCGGCCACACUGGGACUGAGACACGGCCCAGACUCCUACGGGAGGCAGCAGU
rnacentral:rRNA from 2 species